ACUCAAAUGAAUUGACGGGGACCCGCACAAGCAGUGGAGUAUGUGGUUUAAUUCGAAGCAACGCGAAGAACCUUACCAGGUCUUGACAUCCCGAUGAAAGCACCAGAGAUGGUGCCCCUCUUCGGAGCAUUGGAGACAGGUGGUGCAUGGUUGUCGUCAGCUCGUGUCGUGAGAUGUUGGGUUAAGUCCCGCAACGAGCGCAACCCUUGAUCUUAGUUGCCAGCACUUCGGGUGGGCACUCUAGGAUGACUGCCGGUGACAAACCGGAGGAAGGUGGGGAUGACGUCAAAUCAUCAUGCCCCUUAUGACCUGGGCUACACACGUACUACAAUGGCCGGUACAACGGGCAGCGAAGGAGCGAUCUGGAGCAAAUCCUUAUAAGCCGGUCUCAGUUCGGAUUGCAGGCUGCAACUCGCCUGCAUGAAGUCGGAAUUGCUAGUAAUCGCGGAUCAGCAUGCCGCGGUGAAUACGUUCCCGGGUCUUGUACACACCGCCCGU
rnacentral:rRNA from 1 species